ACCUCCCCAUUUCUUCAGUACACCACAAAACUGAUUGAUUAAAACAUGAAAUUAUAUUCUUCUUCUUCUCACGUACAUCAAAUAUGAAAAAACUCACAACAUAAGAAUACCCAAAAAAGGCUUAACAUCAAUUGUACUUCUUCUCGCGUACAAUACUCAGUUUCCAACAAAGAACAUCAACUAUUCUUCUUUGAUUCAACAACAAUCUUUCUUCUGCAAGGGUAGAUUUAAAAUUAGGUUAAAAUGUUGUUGAAUCAGGCAUAAACAAUUAGAUCUGGCACAAAUUUCGUUCCUAGACACAAAGAAAGACAUAAUGGAUCUAGAUGAAAUUUUGGCUAUUUUUCAUGAAGAGCCAGAAACCGAAUUCGCUGGAGGUGAUCUAGAGUUAUGGUGCAGAGGAAGAAAAUACUUCAACCGAUGAAGAUGAAGAGGAAUCCAACAAUGAAGGAUUUUCUUGCAAUUAUGAUGAUGCAACAGCUGUGGAUACUGUGAGUGAUAUAUGUGAUCGUGCUUAGUGUGCAGUUUGCUGUCGUGAGUGGCCUUGCCUCACUGAGUCGU